rnacentral:rRNA from 1 species
UUUGCUGACGAGUGGCGGACGGGUGAGUAAUGUCUGGGAAACUGCCUGAUGGAGGGGGAUAACUACUGGAAACGGUAGCUAAUACCGCAUAACGUCGCAAGACCAAAGAGGGGGACCUUAGGGCCUCUUGCCAUCGGAUGUGCCCAGAUGGGAUUAGCUAGUAGGUGGGGUAACGGCUCACCUAGGCGACGAUCCCUAGCUGGUCUGAGAGGAUGACCAGCCACACUGGAACUGAGACACGGUCCAGACUCCUACGGGAGGCAGCAGUGGGGAAUAUUGCACAAUGGGCGCAAGCCUGAUGCAGCCAUGCCGCGUGUAUGAAGAAGGCCUUCGGGUUGUAAAGUACUUUCAGCGGGGAGGAAGGGAGUAAAGUUAAUACCUUUGCUCAUUGACGUUACCCGCAGAAGAAGCACCGGCUAACUCCGUGCCAGCAGCCGCGGUAAUACGGAGGGUGCAAGCGUUAAUCGGAAUUACUGGGCGUAAAGCGCACGCAGGCGGUUUGUUAAGUCAGAUGUGAAAUCCCCGGGCUCAACCUGGGAACUGCAUCUGAUACUGGCAAGCUUGAGUCUCGUAGAGGGGGGUAGAAUUCCAGGUGUAGCGGUGAAAUGCGUAGAGAUCUGGAGGAAUACCGGUGGCGAAGGCGGCCCCCUGGAUCGACCGCCUGGGGAGUACGGCCGCAAGGUUAAAACUCAAAUGAAUUGACGGGGGCCCGCACAAGCGGUGGAGCAUGUGGUUUAAUUCGAUGCAACGCGAAGAACCUUACCUGGUCUUGACAUCCACGGAAGUUUUCAGAGAUGAGAAUGUGCCUUCGGGAACCGUGAGACAGGUGCUGCAUGGCUGUCGUCAGCUCGUGUUGUGAAAUGUUGGGUUAAGUCCCGCAACGAGCGCAACCCUUAUCCUUUGUUGCCAGCGGUCCGGCCGGGAACUCAAAGGAGACUGCCAGUGAUAAACUGGAGGAAGGUGGGGAUGACGUCAAGUCAUCAUGGCCCUUACGACCAGGGCUACACACGUGCUACAAUGGCGCAUACAAAGAGAAGCGACCUCGCGAGAGCAAGCGGACCUCAUAAAGUGCGUCGUAGUCCGGAUUGGAGUCUGCAACUCGACUCCAUGAAGUCGGAAUCGCUAGUAAUCGUGGAUCAGAAUGCCACGGUGAAUACGUUCCCGGGCCUUGUACACACCGCCCGUCACACCAUGGGAGUGGGUUGCAAAAGAAGUAGGUAGCUUAACCUUCGGGAGGGCGCUUACCACUUUGUGAUUCAUGACUGGGGUGAAGUCGUAACAAGGUAACCGUAGGGGAACCUGCGGUUG